GACGCUGGCGGCGUGCCUAACACAUGCAAGUCGAGCGAGGAGAUCCUUCGGGAUGAUCCUAGCGGCGGACGGGUGAGUAACACGUGGGCAACCUGCCUCAUAGAGAGGAAUAGCCUUCCGAAAGGGAGAUUAAUACCUCAUAACAUUGCAGUUUCGCAUGGAACAGCAAUUAAAGGAGUAAUCCGCUAUGAGAUGGGCCCCGCGGCGCAUUAGCUAGUUGGUGAGGGUAAUGGCUCACCAAGGCGACGAUGCGUAGCCGACCUGAGAGGGUGAUCGGCCACAUUGGGACUGAGACACGGCCCAGACUCCUACGGGAGGCAGCAGUGGGGAAUAUUGCACAAUGGGGGAAACCCUGAUGCCAGCAACGCCGCGUGAGUGAUGACGGCCUUCGGGUUGUAAAGCUCUGUCUUCAGGGACGAUAAUGACGGUACCUGAGGAGGAAGCCACGGCUAACUACGUGCCAGCCGCCGC
rnacentral:rRNA from 1 species